CCUACGGGCGGCAGCAGUGGGGAAUAUUGCGCAAUGGGCGAAAGCCUGACGCAGCGACGCCGCGUGAGGGAUGAAGGUCUUCGGAUCGUAAACCUCUGUCAGCAGGGAAGAACGGUCACUGUGCUAAUCAGCAGUGAAUUGACGGUACCUGCAAAGGAAGCAACGGCUAACUCCGUGCCAGCAGCCGCGGUAAUACGGAGGGUGCGAGCGUUAAUCGGAAUUACUGGGCGUAAAGCGCUCGUAGGCGGUAUGUCAAAUCAAGGGGGAAAUCCCCGCGGUCAACGUGGGACCAGCCUUUGAAACGGGCAAACUGGAGUGUGUGAGAGGAUAGUGGAAUUCCAGGUGGAGGAGUGAAAUCCGUAGAUAUCUGGAGGAACAUCAGUGGCGAAGGCGACUAUCUGGCACAUAACUGACGCUGAGGAGCGAAAGCGUGGGUAGCAAACAGGAUUAGAUACCCGGGUAGUC
rnacentral:rRNA from 1 species